AAGUAAAGCUGCAAAAUUCUUGAGAGCCAAUUGAAUUUCUCUUUUCAAAGUACCGGAAGAAACAGUAGAGCUACUUGAGAAAUCUGACCUGUAUUUCUUUGGCCCCGAGCAUUCUCCAUUGACCGAACCAGCUUAGAAAGCCCUGAACUGGGCCGUGGAUGAGAAAUUGAAGCCAGAUACUGCAGUUAUUUAAUUGAUCUGCCCUAUUUCUAUCCAAGGAACAAGCUUUUGCCUUCUUCGAUUCCGCCUGCUGCUCUUCUGCCCAGUGCUAUCCGGUUCUGCCCUAAUUUCCACCUUAUUGUGGUUUAUUGGCUAAGAUAAAGUACUGUUUAGAAUCUUUACAUGUAUGGUUGACUAAUGACUUUAUUUAGAAGAUACUUAUGUAUGUAGGAUAUGUUUUUUUGUAGAGUAUUAGUAGUAAAUUCUAAGUGAUAUUAUGGUUAUUUUGAUAUGGCUAUGCUUACUUUAGUG